GUGUCUUAUUCCACAGGUUUGAAUAGUCAUGACUCCAGUUGGCAUUGAGUGAGUGUGCUGAAGAAACCAAGUGGUGAAUUGGCCGUUGUAUCCAUCAUCUUUAUACUUUGGUUGAAUUUUAAGGUGAUAAAUUUGUUAUAACUUUGAGAGAUCGAAUGAGCAAAUGAUCUUAAAUGUGUACCAAAUUCAUAGAAAAAUGUGAGUUUUAACGUAGUUUUUUUCUAUGUUAAAUCAUUCAAAACCCUUAAUUGGAAUUAGUACUACUUUUGUAAACAUUUAUGGUGGGAUUGUUUGUGCUUCCCUGAAGUACCUGUUUAUUACUUGUUCUUUGGUUCUGCUUUCUUGCCCCACCUACAGUGAGUUCUCUCCUCAUGUUUUUGGUUCUGUGUGCUUCCUUGCACCUUCUUGUGUCUCCUUGUUCUUUGAGCUUUUCUCUGUGCUGCCAUCUGCAUUUCCCACAUUUUCUCUGAUCAUCCUCUGUCUGCCUUUGAUUCAUUUCCUUUAAAUCUGCAUUUUGGCCAUGUCUCAUCUGUUUAUUUUUUAAAUUAUUUAUAAAUCCCGGAAGGCAGUUUUAUAUAGGAUAAGAACCAGGCACUUGUCUGCUUCCUGAUGAAUUACUCUGUAGCUGCCACCUUUUUAGAACCCUGAGCUAGAAUUUUUCUCUUGUUAUGCAAAGUAAAUGAGGCACUAACUGCAGGUUUAUUAGUUGGUAGGGGUGGGGGGAAUAGUACUGUAGUUGAUUCAUGACCCAUGUAGCACGGCAAGUUUCUAAUUUCAAAAAUAACUAGCAGAUUUUUUAAGAGUGAUAUUUAAAGUGCUGUAGCAAUAAUAGAUGCUGAAAAGUAAGCCUUGUGUAUAGCCUAGUGAUUUUAAAAAACCUUCUUUAAGUGUUCAAGACCUAUACCUUAGAGUAGAAUAAUUUUCAGUGACAACUCUUACUUUUCUCUACAUGGAGUUAUGUCUUUGAACCAUACUUUAUUGCAAAACUCACAAACCUAAAGGAUUUAAAGUUUAUUAUUGUGAUUUUAGAGCAGGGUGGAAAGGAAGGGGAAGAAAGAUUAUUUUCCUGAGUGAAGGGACCUAGUGCUUAUAAUAACAUUUUGAUCUGGGGACUAUGCUGUGAUAAAUAACUUGCAUUGUUGAAUCUGGAUGGAAUUAACCUCAGGGGAGCCCUGUCUAUCUCUGAAGCAUUAGGAACCGAUUAUGGCUGCGUGUGAUCUGUUUUCACAUGGUGUAGUACACAUGUGCACAAGUGCACUGAGUGUCAGUGCAGUCAACCAGCUAUUUUCCCCCUAGCUUUUUGAAGGCUCCUUUUGGAGAGGAUUUAUGUGACAACUACUUGAUUCUUCUUUGUUGUGUCUUCUGAUAAUCUUAUUACUUGAAUUAAUUUUGAUGAUUAUGUUUGAACAUAAAAAUAAAGCAGCUGAAAAUUUAUGAAACAUGUUUCAUAAAUACUUUUUAAUUUACUAUAUUCAAAGAUAUGCCAUUGUUUUAUAGUUUGUCCAAUACCUGUCCAAGAUCUGUUUGAAGUGUUAAGAUCUCAGGGGCUGGCACGGGCAUCCCAUAUGAGCACCUGUUCAAGUCCCAGCUGCUCUGCUUCCUAUCCAGCUACCUGCCACAGCCCCUAGGAAGGCAGCAGAGGAUGGCUCAAGUGCUUGGGUCCAUGUACCCACAUGGGAGUCGUGGAUGGAAUUCCUGGGUCUUACCUUCAACUUGGCCCAGCCUCAGCGGUUGCAGCCAUUUGGGGGAAUAACCAGCGAGUUACGUAAACUAAUAUUCCACAACAUGAAAUAGUGUUGAAAUGUAUAAUUAAGGAACACGAUGUUUACUGAGGAUUAUGUGAAUAUACAACCAGUUUUUUUCCUAGAAAAAAUUUUCAUGUGCCAUCUGAAACUUUUUAGGUUUAUUUAAUUUUUACUUUUCUUUUAUAGUUCUUCAUGCUUGUUUUACUAUAUUUUGAAGGAAACCUUGGGUAAUUUUAAAAUGGUUCUCGCAUCUCAUUUCACUGUAGUUCAAUUAAAGUAUUGACUCAUUUUGAGAGAACUAUAGCUUCACAUGCAGUUGUAAGAAACAAGGAUCAGGCUGGCGCCACGGCUCACUAGGCUAAUCCUCCGCCUGCAGCGCCAGCACACCGGAUUCUAGUCCCGGUCGGGGCACCAGAUUCUGUCCCGGUUGCCCCUCUUCCAGGCCAGCUCUCUGCUGUGGCCCGGGAGUGCAGUGGAGGAUGGCCCAAGUGCUUGGGCCCUGCACCCCAUGGGAGACCAGGAGAAGCACCUGGCUCCUGGCUUCGGAUCAGCGCGGUGUGCUGGCUGCAGUGCGCAGGCCGCGGCGGCCAUUGGAGGGUGAACCAACGGCAAAGGAAGACCUUUCUCUCUCUGUCUCUCUCUCUCACUGUCCACUCUGCCUGUCAAAAAAAAAAAAAAAAAAAAAAAAAACAAGAAUCAUCCUCUUUACUGAGUUUCCCCAAAUGCUGGUAAUACAGUAUCACACCCAGGAUGUUGACAUUGUAGGCAGUAGAAAACAGCCAGUGUCAGAAGGGUCACUGGGUGUUGACCUGUUGCAGCCGGACCCUCUCCUUCCUGCUGCCUUCUGCACUUCUUCUGUCGAACACCACUCUGCUCUUCAUUUCUAGAAUUUAAUCAUCUCAAGAAUGUUAUUUAAAUAGAAUUGUGUUGGGAUGGCAUUUAUUUUCUCAGGGUAACUGUGGUGAUUUGCCCAGGUUGUUGUGUGUCUUAAUAGUUGUUCCUUUUAUCGUUGAGUAUUCCAUGGAACCUCACAGUGCAUUCCGUGUGCUGUGGUUUAAUCAUUCAUCCAGCAGGGGCAUGUGGCUUGCAUGUUUCAGUUGUUACAAAUAAAGCUGCUACAGUUGUAUACUGUCUUUUAUUUUGGUAAAAACAAGUAUCCAUUUCUGUGUGGUGAAUACCCAGGAGGGUCGUGUGUUGAUUGUGUGUCUAAUGUCUAAGCUGUUCUGAAGUGGAUAUACCGUUUUACAUUGUCAGCAGUAAUGUGUGAAUGACCAUUGUCUGCACAUCCUCAUCAGCAUUUGGUGUUGGCAUUGCUGUUCUUCCUCCCCCCGACCCUGGUAACUGUGGAAGAAUGUUCAAAUCCCCCAGUGGAUACUGAAACUACAGAUUGUACUCAAACUAAAAUGAAUCUUUUCUAUACGUGCAUAUGCACCUAUAAUAAAAUUUAAUUGAGGGACAGAAGUUGUGGCAUGGGUAAAGCCGCUGCCUGAGACACUGACAUUCCUUAUAGGAACUGGUUCAAGUCCUGCCUGCUCCACUUUCAGUCUAGCUCCCUGCUAAUGGCCUGAGAAAAGCAGAGAAGAUGGCCCAAAUGGUUGGGCCCCUGAUGCCCACAUGGGAGAUUUGUCUUGUCCCAAACUCUGGUUGUAUGGCUGUCUGGAGAAGUGAGGCAGCAGAUGGGAGACUUCUCUUGUUUCCUGUCUCUCUCUAUAUCUCUGUAACUCUUUUUUUUUUUUUAAUUAUUUGAAAAAAGGCACAGUUACAGAGACACAGAGGCAGGGAGGGAGGGAGGAGAGAGGUCUUUCAUAUGUUGGUUCACUUCCCAGGUGUCUGCAAUGGCCAGAGCUGAGCCAAUCUGAAGCCAGGUGCCAAGAGUUUCUUCUGGGUCUCCCAUGUGGGUGCAGGGGCCCAAGGACUUGGGCCAUCUUGUAUUGAUUUCCCAGACCAUAGCAGAGAGCCGGAUUGGAAGUGGAGAAGCUGGGUCUUGAACCAGCGCCCAUGUGGAGUGCUGGCACUGCAGGUGGCAGCUUUACCCACUACAUCACAGUGACAGCCCCUGUAACUCUUUUAAAUAAAUCUUUUCUUUUGUAACAGUUAUAGACAGAGUAAGAUUAAAAACAAUUGAUAAAAUAAUUGUAACAUGUAUUGUAAUAAGAUUUAUUUAACUUAUUUAAGAUUAUGAACUGAUUAUUUCUGGAAACUUCCAUGUACUAUUUUCAGACCAUGGUUGACUAGGGCUAACUGAAACCAUGGAAAACAGAGCUAUGAAUAAGGGGGACUACUGUAUCUUUUAUUAGUAGCCAUUCCGAUAGGUGUGUUGAGAUACUUUAUCUUGGUUUUCAUUAGCAACCCCUUAACACUGAGCAUUUUUCAUGUGCCUGUUUAUCAUCUGUAUGUCCUCUUCGGUGACAUGUCUCUGCUCCAUUUUUAAAGUGGAUUAUUUUUUGAGGUUGAAUUUUGAGAUUUCUUUAUAUAUUUGAUAUACUUGGUUUUUUUUUCUAGAAUAUAUGAUUUAGAAAUACUUGAUUCUGUAGACUGUCUUCAUUGUCUUAGCAGGGUCUUUUGCAGAGGAAAAAAUUUUGUUUUGAAAAAGCCAAAUCAGUUUUCCUUUUAUGGAUCAUAUAAUUUUUUAUUGUCAGGUCUCAGGAUAUUGCAUAACCGUGGAUCUUGAAGAUUUUUUUUAUAUAUUUCUAAAUUUUAGUUUGAUGUUUCACAUUGAAGUCCGUGAUCCAAGUUCAGGUCAUCUGUUUUUAACUUCUACAUAUAGAACAUGAGGUAUUGGUCUUCUGUGCCUGGCUUAUUUCACAACAUAAUGACCUCUGGUACCAUUCAUUUUGAUGCAAACAUCAAGGCUCCAUUACUUUCUGUGACUGAAUAAUUUUAAUGAUUUUCUUUAUGUUGAUUUCUUGAAGCUGGGAAGGGUGCAGAGGGAUAAUGGUUACCAAACAGUUAGAUAGAAGUUGUAUUGUUACACAGCACAGUGGUGUGGACUGUUGUUUACAACAUGCAUUAUAUGCCAUGUGAAGAACCAAAAGAAGAAAGCUUGGAGACUCCACAAGUAAAGAAAAUUUGUGAAAAUACUGGCUACCUGACUUGAUCAGUUUAUGAUGUGUGCAUCUGUUGAAAUAAUGCAAGGUAUUCCAUAAAAUAUAAUAGAGAGUAUCCGGUCUGCUGAAAGAAGAAAAAAAUCAAGCACUGCCAGUUUCUAGUUGUAUGAAUUUGGACACAGCACAUCACCUUAUUUUCUCUAAAAUCAUAUUAGCCGUCUUUGUUAAGCAGGAAGAAAUGAGUGUAUAUGUGAUGUGUUUCAGGUAGAGUCCUACACACAGUGCUUGGUAUGUAUGUUAUUACUAUUAUCCUUUAAAUCAAGAAGAAUGGUUGACGUUAAAAGAAAAAGUCCCUUUUUCAUGUGGAGUUAACUUAUGUAUUUAGUUGAGUUUUUCUCUUUCUUUUUUUAACCUGUGGGUAAGCAGUUGUCCUGUAUUAUUUGUGGGGAAGGCUAUUCUUUCUCCAUUGAAUGGCUUUUGCACCUUUGUUUAAAAAAAAAAAAAACAGUUGGGUGUAUUGGUGAGUUUUAUUGAUCACUGUGGCUAUCCUCCAGUCAGUAUCACAGAAUCUUGAUUAUUAUAGCUAUAUAAUUUUUGAAAUGAGACUGUUUUAUCUUUAAAUCUGUUUCAAAUGUUUUAAACUAUUCUAGUUCUUCUGUCUUUCCUUAUAUACAUUUAAACAUUUUUUGUCUACAGUGAAUAUUGGGGAAUUUUGAUAGGAAUUGCGUUGUGCCUUUACAUUAAUUUUGGGAGAAGUGACAUCUUUGUUGAGUCUCUCAGUCCAUGAACAUGGCAUAUUUCCUCAUUUGUUUACAUCUUAGAUUUCCUUCCUCAGUACUUUAUGGCUUUCAGCAUACAAGUCCUGUACGGAUUUUGUUAGCUUUACACCUAAGUAUUUAGUUUUCUUUGGGGUGAUUGUAAGUAGUACUGUGUUUUUCAUUUUGAUACUCAUUCUUAGGAGUUUUGUAUGUUCACCUUGCAUCCUGUAUCAAAAGCCUGUGUGCAGUAGGUUGUUGGGUAGACAUGAUGGUACAAACCAGCAGUAAACAUUCUGGGUUUCUCAAGCUCUGUGGCCUCUGUCAUAAUUACCUAUCCUAUUUUUGUAGUGUAAAAGCAGCUAUGGGCAAUAUAUAUGUGAAUGGACGGAGCUGUGUUUUAGUACAGCUUUAUUUGCCAAAACAGAUGGGGUAAGGGCUAGAGGUGCAAGAGUGGACAGAUGUGGUCCAGGGGCUGUAGUCUGCUGACCUGAAGUCUAGACUAAUAUAAUUUAACUCUGCUUUGACUUGUUGAGCUGCUCGCUUGCUUUCUGUUUAAGCAAAAGCUCUAUUUCCUAAGUAUAAAUUCAGAUGUUAGAAUAAGGCACCAAGGUAUUUCAGUAGAUUGUUUGGAUGAUGAUAAUGAUGUUUUACUUAUAUUUUGAUAUCAACUGUUGUAACAAGAUUGCAGUACAAAUGAAUAGACCGUAUAACGUUUUUCUUAUAAAAUUAGAAUAGAACAUAUUUAAAAUUUCUAUUUAUUGCAUACUGAUACUGCUCAAAAUAUUCUCUUCAAGGAUGAAUAUUGCAGAAGGACUGUUAAAAAGUGUCAGAACUCUAAACCUUGCAGAAGUCCAAGAGAAAAUGAACUGCAACAGGAAAAAGUCUUGUUUGAUUUUUACAAGUGCAUUAUUGUUCUCCAACGAAAAUUAACCCUAGUAAUAAUGGUAUUUGUGGGUAAAAAAAUCUGAAACAGAUAAAAUAUUUUGGGUUGAGUUUAAUACUGCUGUGUCACUUACACAAGUCAUGUUCAUUUCUGGGUGUUAAAGAGAAGAAAGUGUUCUCAAGCUUCUCCUUUUGUGAAAGGCAGAACAUGCUGCGUGCUUGCUUACCUACAGCAAAGGCACUUGUCACUCCGUUAGGCUGCUGUGUAAGUGAGCAUUUAGAAAUCACUUUUGCCCGACUCACUUUUAUGGGAAACGUUUAUUCACUUGCAGAGUUUAUCAGAGGGAUUGCAAACAGAUUAUCUCUUACUACUGUAUUUCUAUCCAGUUUUCAUGGUUUUAGAGCAGAGCAGUUUGGGUAAAUGGGAAUUGAGUGAAGAAAAUGGUUUGAGAACUAAAACCAGCAUCUAAGGGUUUGGGUCAUGAGAUGGCUGGACUGGAGACUCACCAGGACGUGGAGAGCCUGGUGGGUUAGUGGGUGCCCUUGGGUCUCUGUGUGCCCAUUUGUCAUUUUCACCUGAUGAGGUUGCAGUCUUCCCAUUCAAUUCCACACCUCCUGGGCUCUUAGGAGAAUGGACUGAGAUAAAUAACACAUAGCAUUUUAAACACUGUUUGUGGCACAAAAUUAAUUUGCACUUUUAUUGUGAUGCAUAAUUUUUGACUGUUUUUUGAAAAUACAUUGUUUUCUGUUUUCUCUAUACAAGAGUCAGUAAAUACGUGUAAUUGUGUUGUCUUAAGUUUGAAUCCCUGCCUGAUUUAAUAGUGUAAGUAAUAUUGUGGCUGAAGUUUUCUUGAAAUACAGUCAUGCUCAUUUGUUUUUGCUCUGUUUAUGGUCACUAUUGCUCUGUAGUGACAAGCAGAGCAGAUGUGACAGAGAUUACAGUUGGCCCUCUGUAUCUAUGGAUUCCACACCCAUGGGUUCUGCAUCUGUGGAUUCAACGAAUUGUCGACUGAAAAUCCUCAACAAUAAAAACGUUAUGAGUACUGAACUUUUGCAGACUAUACUUGCCAUUAUUCCCUAAAACAAUACAAAAUAGCAAGAGUUUACAUAGUAUUUUACAUUGGGUAAGUCAUUAUAAGUAAUCUAGAUAUGGCAAGAUGUAGAAUCUUCAGAAAGUUCUUAACAAUGUAUAUUAGAAAAGAAUGAUGCAUAAAUUUCAAAAAAAUUUAUAUCAGAGUAGUUUAAUUCUGUUUUUCCAUAAAGUACCCUUGUAUGGGAGGGUAUAGACGAUGUACAAACACGUCACAUUAUAUAAAAUAGAGAUGCACAUUGGCAGAGUUUUAUAUUGGGGGUCCUGGGACUAAUCCUCCAUUGAUACUGAAGAAUGACUGUGUAUAACCAGCAAAACAAAAUAUUAGUACCUGACAGUUUAUAGGGCAAGCUUGUCAACCCUGAAACUCACAUACAAGGUCUCUUGAUGAAGUGUAAAAGUGAAUGAAAAGCACUCAGUCAUAAAAGAGCUUCUGAAACCAGUGAGCCUUUGUUUAUUUUACAGCUCGUGUUAAAGCAAAUGAUGUAUUAAAAAGGGCAGUAUAAAAAAAGUUUCCUGGGCCGACGCUAUGGUGCAGAGGGUUAAGCUGCCGUUAGCAGUGCUGUAUCCUAUACAGACACCGGUUCGAGUCCUGGCUCUUCUGUUUCCAAUCCAGCUCCCUGAUUUUGUGCUUGGGAAAGCAGAGGAGGAUAGCCUGAGUGCUUUGGCUCCUGCACCCAUGUGGGAGACCUGGAAGAAGCACCUGAGUUUUGGCCUGGCCCAACCCUGGCCAUUUGGAGAGUGAACCAGUGGAUGAAAGAUUGAUUCUGUCUGUCUCUGUGUGUCUCACUGUCUCACUGUAAUUCUGACUUAAAUAAAUAAAUCUUUAAAAAUAUUUCCUCAGGUUUUCAUUUAUGUUGCUACUAAGGAGCUGAUUUUGAAGUAUUAUAAAUUAAUAAUACAUUACCAUCUGCAAUAACUGAAUUCAUUAGAAGGUUUGAAAUUAUUUCUUUUCUUUCAUAAUGAAACUCUAAUGCUGUAAAAUUUGUGGUGCAUUUCUGUUCAUUAGGAAUAAGUCUUUGUCAUUUUAUGGUUUGCACUUAAUCUCAGAGAGUGAGUAUCAUAGGGCAGUGCUGAGCCAAGGCAGCCUAGCGCCAUCCCACAGUCCAGUACUCCCAGCACUGUGAACCGCUGACAUUGCCUUCAUGGACACAGCUUGUUAACAUCACAGGGAAAGGACUUCAGCAAUCCUGCUGUUAAAACGUGGUGUUCCUGCUGCCAGAAUUACUUUGAUUCAAAGCCAUAGCCAGUAAUAUGCACAUAGAGGCCAGCAUUGUGGUGGAGUAGGUUGAGUUGCUGCCUGUGACACUGGCAUCCCACAUGGGCUCUGGUUCCAGUCCUGGCUUCUCACUUCUGAUCCAGCUCCCCGCUAAUGCUUCUGGAAAGCUGGGGAAGAUGGCCCAAGUGUUUGGGCCCCUGCAUGCAUGUAGAAGACCCAGAUGAUGUUCCGGGCUUCAGCCUAGACCAGUCGUUGUAGCCAUUUUGGGAGUGAACCAGCAGAUAGAAGAUCUCUCUCUGUCUCUCCCCCAUCUCUUGAAGUUAUCCUUUCAGAUAAGUCUUUUUUUUUUUUUAAAGUAAUAUGCAUAUAGGACACAGUUAGCAUGUAGACCUGAUUUUAAAUGGAAAUAUGUCUAUGGCUCGGCGAAUGCAGUUUUGGUAGAGUGAUUGUUGACGUCUAGGUAGCAAAGCAGCCUCACGAGUGUGUGACUAUUCAGUCCUGUCUCCUCACUGGCAGGGGAGUUCCGUACAAGUGGUAGUUUUCAGACAACAGAGCAGAUGGCUCCUUCCACUUAGUACAGGGCGUGCCAACCCGAAGAGAUGGCUGAGCAAGUGUUAACCCCUAAGGGACAGCAAGAACAAUUGCCAUCAGUUGUUUGCAAGUCUGUCUCCUGACCUGAGAAUGAUGUGAAAACGUAAUUCUGUCUUUUAAAUUAGCGUGCAUUAAAUGCACAAAUUUAGCCUAUAAUCUCUAAGUUCUCACUACAAACGGUGGUAGAUGAUACAAUUACUUAUAAAAGGAAGCAAACUGUUAUGUUUGACAUUUAUGGGAUAAUGUGAUGACAGACUACUACAGUGCUUCCAAGUUUCCAGUAAAUAUCCAUGAAGAUGGCAAACACAGGCAAAUGCCAUAUGACAACCUUGGGUAGAAUCUUCUUCAGUAGGAUUAGGGGAAUGGAUUGAGAAUAGCCAUGAACUCUAGAGAACACGUUUUAUUUCCUCAACCUGAACAGAACAGAUGGUCACACACACAAGGCAGAGCACAUUUCACGAAGUGCCUAACUUCUGGGAGCCUGCGGGUCAUGCUGAGUAGCUAAAGUUUUGUCAUCCGUAGACUCUGGAACCACUCAUGAGAGGUCAGUUCACCUGCCACUUCUUUACAUCUCGAUUGUUUCUUUUAUCUCUUUGCUAUAAAGACCUCAGGGUGCUCCACAGCCCUGGGUAGAAGUCAUUUACAGAACACCGUUUGAAGCAUGUAGAGACAGAAAAAAGAGCUUUGUGUCUGUGUAUAUUACAUCUGGUUGCUUAUGACGGCAGCCAGGAGGGGUCUCAGAGCAGCAAACUGUACUCUUUCCACAUUCGUUAGAAGGAAUUUCUGUCAAACGUUACCUGUUGGAUUUAGGGUGGAGCGCAUCCCUAUUUCCAAGUUUAAAUCUGAGGAGAAGGACCUGUAAGCAUGUGGGGAGUGCUGAGUCAGAAGACAUGGCAGACACUAAUGUCUGUGUAAGAACUACGGGUCUGGCUACAGCUCUUGCCAAAGGCAAGUGUUCACAAGAAGCUUAGCAUGUGGCUUAUGGAAAAAAUUCUAUAAAGGAGGUGGAGAGAAUGACUCUGAAGACAGAAUGUGUCUUUCAGAAAGUGAUGACAUGUGAAAAACAUAUUUAGUACAAAUCUGUUAGUCUCAAACAUCAUGACCUUGAGGGGGUCAGUGUUGUGGCUCAGCGAGUUGAGCACUGCCUGCAAUGUCCAUCUUCCAUAUCGGAUUGCCUGAUUCUGAUCCAGCUUCUCUGCUUAUGUGCCUGGGAAGUCCUCGGAUGAUGGCCCAAGUGCUUGAGCCCCUGACACCCAUGUGGGUGGAGUUCUAGCCCCUUAACUUUGACCUGGCCCAGCCCUAGGUGUGAGCUUUUGAGGAGUGAACCAGUGGGUGGAGGAUCCCUCUCACUCUGUGCUUUUCUCUGCUAGUCUUGAGAAUAAAUCAGAGGUCCUUAAGGAGGAAGGGGUUGAGAUCAGAGAAAUGCCAAAAAAUGAGCAAGAACAAUAAAAAUAACAAGAAACCCAAAACCCCAGAACUGGCCUCGAUAAAAGAAUUCAAGGAAACUGAAAUUGCAGUGUUUUAAAACUUAAAUUAAAGCAAUCAAAGACAACUUUGUUUCCCAAAAUGGGAGAGUAUGAAUGACAAACUUGAGAACCUUGGGAUGCAGUUGCAUUUUCUAUUCUACCCUGAAUGUUAGGCAAAGAUACACAAAUGUUGAGAGAGGACAUAGAAGGCAGGAAAUCAGAACUUUGAUAAGGAUAUCACAAAAUUCCUGUGUCAGAGAAGCAUGUGAAGUGGAAGGACUUGAGAAACAGCUAAAAUGAGUGGAAAAGUUCCUACUUAGACCCAUCCUGGAAAAAUAUUGGAAUUCUAAGGAUGAGACAAUCCAGAAGACAGAAAAGAAAAAAUUUAUCUCCAAUAUCUUGUCUAUUAAAUGUUAGAAAUUUCUGUGUGAGGCUGUGGCCUGAUAGUUAUAUUCAACUAUGUUGUUAAUACAAGUUAGUGAUGAUUUUAUAUAAUCUUGUAUUUUUUUUUUUAACAGGCAGAGUUAGAGACAGAGCGAAAGGUCUUCCUUCCGUUGGUUCACCCCCCAAAUGGCCGCUACAGCCGGCACACUAUGCCGGUCCAAAGACAGGAGCCAGGUGCUUCUUCCUGGUCUCCCAUGCGGGUGCAGGGGCCCAAGCACUUGGGCCAUCCUCCACUGCCUUCCCGGGCCACAGCAGAGAGCUGGCCUGGAAGAGGAGCAACUGGGACUAGAACCCGGCGCCCAUAUGGGAUGCCAGCGCUGUAGGCGGAGGAUUAACCAAGUGAGCCACGGCGCCGGCCCUUGGAUUUUUUAAAAAGAUUUUUUUAUUUAAUUGAAAGGCAGAGUGACAGAGGCAGAGAGAGGGAGAGAGGUCUUUUGUUAAACUGGGGUAUAUUUUUGUGCUGUCCUGUGAUUGAUUGGUGGUUAGUAGAACAGGCCAGGCUCAUCCAACUCAACUGAUGAGAAAGUUGGGUGAACAAAAGGAAAAUGUAGCCAAAGUUACAGUUAGUUCCUAAAAAGCCACCGAUCAAACACAGAAAGUCUUAUACAAUGUUUUCUGUAGAAGGUACAUUCAAAAUUAAAUGACAAAGGCUUAAAUAAAUUGAUAAAUCCAAACAAGAGAAUAUUAGAGUUUUAUUAAUAUGAGAAAUCACUAAAAUGGGCUAAAAUUAUGACAAAAGGUAUAAACUACAGUAAAGACAUAAUAUGGAUUUUUGUGAGGUAGGUUAUAUCACAAUAAGCAUUAAUUACUGGGAAUGGAAAGAAACAUAGUAAUGAGACAGCAACUCCUCUUUCUUGCAGAUGAGACAGUGUGGAAGGAUAAUAGAGGUGCAAAUAUCCUGAUAAUUUAGGGCAACCAUAGAGGGUGGGCCACACAUGAAGAACUCUGCUCUCUAGAGGAUCCCUUUUCUUUAGGACCUCAAGAAAUCACUCCCCUCCUCCAAGCAUCAUUUUUGUAGGCCAUAAAACUAAAAUUUUGACAGUUUUUAAAUAAUGUAAAAUGCAUUCUCUACCAUAAAGAGAUUUCCAAACAUGUUACACAGGGAAAUUGAAAAAAUCCAGGUCCUUCCCCAUCUCCCAAGCUGUCUCCUAAAUAAUUCAAGUGGGUCAAAGAGAAAAAUGUAAAAUUACAAAUCUUCAAGAAGAGUUAUGAUGGAAAAUACAUAUUAACACUAUUGGAUAUGAUCAGAAUGCUUCAUAGAGAAAAACAUAUAGUCAAAUACUCAUUUUUAGCAAAAGGGAAUAAAAAAUUGAGCAAGUCAGCUUGGGUAUUACAAAAGGAAAUGGAGAAAAUUAUUAAAGAUACAGGAAUGUGAAAAGAUACAUAAAACAACAGUUGAUAAGUCUUGUUUCUUUUGAUGAAAAAAUCCAAUAUUAUAGAUUCAAUUGUACCAAAUUGAAAUAGCACAAUAUGAAAAAUUAGGAAUGAAAUGGAAAACUAAGAAAAUGUAAAUGUAUUAUGUAAUUAAAUGUUCAUAAAUUUGAAACAGAUGAAAAUAGAUACUUUCAUAGAACGAGUUAUACUACUACCCAAAUUAAGUACAGAGGAAAAAAUAUGUGAGGUAACAGCACUAACAGCAGAGAAUGAGAGAACUUGAAGAACAAUCCUUCCAUAAAGAGUUUUGUGGGUGAAUUCUUUCAAACAAGUCGUGCCUACUAUGAAAUUGCUCCUAAGCACAGAGAGAUGAGAAAUUGUUUUAUGUUUCACUAUUUUUUUUGGUGAUUUCUUCCUGUAAAGUUUCAUAAUUUUAUCAAGGAAUCCAUUCUAUUCUCUGCUUCAUGGGUGGGCUCUUAGACUUGAGAGACAGUAAGAAAGAAACUGUUCUGGCACCACUUUUUGAAAGAUAGUAUUCAGUGGGGAAGAAAGUCUUUUUAAUGAGAGGUGCUGGGACAACUCGUUAUUAACAUGUGAAGAAAUUACUCUGGAACUCUACCUUAUAUCAUGAAUAAAAAUUAACUCAAAGGGUACCAUAGACUUCAAUCUAAGGGCUAAAACAGGACAAUUUUUGGAAGAAAACCUAAGGUCAAGCAAAUGCUGUCUUAGAUAUGAGAUGAACAGCAUAAGUGAUCAAAGAAAAAGGGGUGAAGUGAAGUUACAAUGGGAAACUUUGUGCUAGAACACACUCAGUUGGCUCUGACACAGUUUUGCAGUGAUGGAGUCUAUUUGAGGACAGAUCUCAUACUCUGAGGGUGACAGUGUAGAGAGGGCAAGAACCUGAAUUUUGGGGGGAUAUCAUUGGCUUCCCUGAGCUGAAGAACCCAAGACUCUGUUCUGCUUCUGGGCAUAUCUUUUUGUGGUUAGGUCAUUGUUGUCUUAUGAUACUUGGUGUCUGUUUCUUGUGGUUGAAAA